rnacentral:rRNA from 1 species
UACGAAGGGGGCUAGCGUUGCUCGGAAUUACUGGGCGUAAAGGGCGCGUAGGCGGCCAUCUAAGUCAGACGUGAAAUCCCCCGGCUUAACCUGGGAACUGCGUCUGAUACUGGACGGCUUGAGUAUGGGAGAGGGAUGUAGAAUUCCAGGUGUAGCGGUGAAAUGCGUAGAUAUCUGGAGGAAUACCGGUGGCGAAGGCGGCAUCCUGGACCGGCAUUGACGCUGAGGAGCGAAAAGCUAGGGGAGCAAACGGG